rnacentral:rRNA from 1 species
AUUGAACGCUGGCGGCAGGCCUAACACAUGCAAGUCGAGCGAGCGGCGGACGGGUUUGUAAUGUAUGGGGACUGCCCGAUAGAGGGGGAUAACUACUGGAAACGGUAUCUAAUACCGCAUACUAUCGGAUAACCCAUAUGGGAUGAGCUAGUAGGUGAGGGAAUGGCUCACCUAGGCGACGAUCCCUAGCUGGUCUGAGAGGAUGAUCAGCAAUACGGGGACUGAGACACGGCCCAGAUUCUGACGGAGGCAGAAGUGGGGAAUAUGGCACAUGGGGCGAUAGCCUGAUGCAGCCACUCCGCGUGUAUGAAGAAGGCCCUAGGGUUGUAAAGCACUUUCAGUCGGGAGGCGUUACCGACAGAAGAAGCACCGGCUAACUCCGUGCCAGCAGCCGCGGUAAUAC